GUUUAUAUGUGCAAUCACUCAUUUAAAAUGUAUGUCAUUAAUAAUUGUUAAUAAAAUGUAUGCUAUUAAAAAAUAAAUAAAUACUGUAUUCAUAUAGAAUAUUUGGGAUAGGUGUAAGCAUAGUUGCCCGGGUCAUGCAAUUUUUUGAUGGUCCCUUACUGACUCCAUUACUAUAAAUCGCUGGUGAGCUGCAUUUCUGUGAGAAUAGCUUCAGGGGGAUUUAACAGGAGAAACAUUUUAAAUAUAUUCAUUUGUAUUUGGUUCUCGUUAAACUCCGGAGUAAGAGAAUAUACAUUUUGUCCUUUCUGUGUGCUUUUUUUUUUUUUUUUAGAAAUGAAUGUCUGGUGAUCGCAAGGCAGUCUAAAAUGCGGUUGAGUGACGUCACUUCCGAAUAUAAACACGCCCCAUAAUAUACUCCCACCUCCAACACUGAAUGACAAGUUUCUGUGCAAGGCAUAGGAAAUGCAAAUGCAAAGGGAUUUGUGACUCCGUUUGAAUAUUGGCAGGCUCCAUAAUGCGACAAUGACAAAGUGAAAUAGCAAACAGAGUAAUUUCUAUUGCUAUUUCAAUAUGACAGGGUGAAAACGUGUAACACACGGGAUAUGGAAUUGCAAAUCGACUAUGUUUCCAUUUGAAAUUUGGCAGACACUAUACGUUCACAAUUAAUGUAUCCACAUAUAGGAAAUUCAAAUACAAACUGCAAUUGCUUUUGAAUAUUGUCUCCAAAAUACUUCCAUAGAAUAUCAUGUCCAAUGCAACAAUGUGCUCUGGACCUAUCUCAAAGGCCAUGUGGCAAUGUAGACUACAGCAGGUUAUGUUUGCUGAACUGCUGGAUAUCCAGGUAGGCUUCAUAGAUAAAUGGAGUAGUUUUGAGGGCAAGGCUGGCCUGUUAGGGCAGGAGGGUAUCCAUCCCACUCGGGGAAGGUGCUGCUCUCAUUUCUUGCAGCAUACCAUGUAGUCUCAGAACAGGCCUAUUUAAUCUGUGACAAUCCAGAGUCAAGGACAGGGAACAGACAAGCAGUCUAUACAGACCGUCUGCAAGCUGCACUUAGUCAUCACUCAGGUUCCACUAUAUUGAGACUUUGUCUUAUCCCCGAGCUAAACAAAAAUUUAGAAAUUCUCAAAGUUUGUUUUAGUAAGCUAAUUAAUAUAAAAUUAGAUCAUACUGAAUGCAUAGCCAGCACAUUUGAUCUGAAGCUAGGAUCACUUACAAGAUCUCUUUCAUCUAAAGUGAUUAUUGUUACUGAAACUAUUACUGAUCAAGAGUUAAAUUUACUAUGUUUAACAGAAACGUAGAUUAAACCAAAUGAGAUUAAACCAAAUGUAGCAUCACACAAAAAUAGAAGAAUCUGCUGCCAUCCACCAGGAUGAUGAAUAUGAGACGUGGGUGGACCUUCUAGCAGGACAACGAGCCAAAGCAUACAGUAAAGCAAACUCUCAAUUGGAUUCAGAGAGAAAAAAUGAAGGUGUUACAAGGUGGCCCAGUCAAUCACCUGACUCCAAUCCAAUUGAACAAGAUUUAAAGACAAUAUGUUUAUGUCAAAUCCAAUCUGAAUACUGUGGUCCAUUAAUUUCUUUAUACAUGAAGCUGUCAUUACAAACAAAGUCUGGUGAAAAUUUCAUGUGAAUAGCCUCACUGGAAAUAUGUUUACUGAAAAGAUGUUGACAAGUUCAAUAUUUAUUUCCCCCAUUGUACAUAGGAAUAACAUUUAUGAAAUAUAUCAGUCGGGAUUUAGGCCUCAUCAUUGCACAGAGUAGGGUUGUCAUGAUACCAUAAACAUAUCUUAUGACACUAUACCAGCUGAAAUAUCAUGCUAGAUAUAUGCAUAGAUAUAAAUGAAAACAGACAAACCAGAUUUUCCUUUCAAUACUUUAUUGAUGAGAGUGAAUAACGGGCUAUUGGAAAAACUGAAGAACAAUUAUACAAUUGACAAGCAACUAAUUCAAUAUUGUCACGUAUUUGAGGCUUGGACAGAUGCAAGUGCAGUUCAGAGUUUUAUUAAGAACAUGUAAUCCAAAGGGCAAAGCAAAAGGGAUAAAUAAAGACAGGCAAAGGUCAGGUGAUCUGCAAAUGGGCAUAAAUGAGGCAAAACAGAAUUGAAAAAUGAGGAAGAGAACAGGAUCAAAACUAUGGCACAGAAACAAGGAACAAAGGCUUGGCACAGUGAUAACACUCAAUACUUGAGUGUAUCACUCAACACAUAUAGACACAUGAGGGGAAUAAAUAACAAACGUAAUCAAGGGUGAACACAAAACAGCUGAGAUUAAUGAUGGCACAUAAAGGAAACAAGCAAUGACAAUACAGGGGCAGAGACAGGACAUAAACCAUAACAAAACACAAAAGUAAACAAAGUCAAUUUCAUUGAAACUCGGAAGCACGCGCUUGCGCUUUGAGCUUCGGAGAACGCUACAUGCUUCAGCAAUUUGUGCGAGGGAAAAUCGUGUCAUAUAUAUUAUUCUGUUGUUCCCUAGAGCAAUGAAAUCAUGCAGAAUACUAAGAAUGAACAGAUUAGGAAUAAAUAACUGAAUUUGGAAAUGAACUCCAAAUUAGCUCCCUUAGCUCACUUCUGGUCAAACACAGCUAAUUUUACAGGGUUUGUACAGAUGUUUCACAAUGAAAUUCCAGGACGUUCAAAGACUUUUCAAGCAUCAUUUUUUGUUUAUUUGACAAGAUUAUUAAGAUUAAUUAUUUGACAAAAGAUGUCAGUAGUACCCGAGCACCGCUGGUGCAAAGCACUAUUGGAUCUGCUCCUUUCCUCUUCUUCUUCUUCUUCCGUUCUCAAAUUAAUCACAUUUUAGAGGGCCUAAACAUACCCGAAAACUCACAAAACUUUGCAAACGCAUCAGAAUGGUGUGAGGGCCAAUUCAUCGCUGAUUGCAGCUUUAAUUCAAACUUUUUUUUAUUUAUUCUUUUUAAAUUCCAAAAAAAAUUAUAAUAAAGCAACAAUUUAUAUUGUGUCUUUUCCAGCCAUGCUGGACCAAAUUUGCAUUGCCCAGGCAUUGCUUCUUCUUCACCAUAAUGCCAAUAUAUUCCAGGUGACUGACAGGAGCACUGUUGCCAACAACUCUCUAUGGAAAGUUGCUGAGCGUCGCUAGAUGAUGUCAUGUGCUAAAUAGUAUAUUCAUUAUGCUAGCACGUCGUAUUUGCAUUCUGCCUAGUGUCAGCCCUUUACAUCUGAUUCCUUCUCUCCUACUCUGUGUGCCCACAUCCUAUAUUUUAAUACAGCCUCAUUCCCAAUAUAGCUGUUCUCAUUUACAUAUUUUUUAUGUUUCUGUUGUCAGACAAAGGAAUGAGUAUGAAAUAGUGACUGAAACACGUCACAUUCUAACCAUUUCCAAGCCGCUGCUCUACACUGUUAAAAUGAUUUUAUAACAAUGAUGUCCUCUAUCAAAAACACACACACACACAUAAGUUAAAGACAAUGGCUGUGCUGUGAUUUCGGCUAUAUGUAAAAUGAUUCACUCAGAGAAAAAGUUAGAAGCAAAUGAAUGUGCUGCUCCUCUCUGACACUCACUGACCAGAGUAGCCGCAGAGAGAGGUGUACUUGCAGUAAGAAAGCAGGACCUUGUUUAAGUUUAGCCCGCUUGGAAGCAAACAGAAAAUCUUUCAAGAUUAAGAUAAAAAUUUUAGGUUAAAUUAAGUAUCACUAACCUUUGUGUAUUCUGCAAAAGCAGUGUGAUGUGUCGUUUUUGUGAAAAUAGUAUUAACUGCUGCAUAUACAACAUUACAGUACUUAAGGUACUACCAUAUUAAAGACCUUAGUGCAAUGCAAGAAUGUGUAUGCAAUGUUCCGAGACGUAAUGGAGUUGAGUAUGGAUGCAAAUGCAGAUAAAGAUCUGGUUUUGAUAGACUUGGUCAAAACAGGCAAAGGGUCAGGCAAUUGGCAAACGGGCAUAAACUGGGCUAGGCUGGAAUCAAAAUGAGGAAACGAGAAACAAGAUCAAUAACAAGAAACAUGAAACUAGAGUCGGGAAACGAGAAACGAGAGCUAGGUAAACAGCUAAACUCAAUAUUGCGCAAUUUUCACAGAGACACGAAGGGUUUAAAUGACUAACGUAAUAAUGGGUAAACACGGACAGUUGGAAACACCAUUGACACACCUUUGGAAAACAACCAAUGACUAAACGUGGCGGAGACAGAACAUAAUCAAAACAAACACACGUGUCCACAGUAAACAAAGUCACAGUCAUAAACAACCGAAAAGCGAGGGUUCGCUGAGCGCUCACGCACCUGGCUUGCACAUGCACUCUGGCUUUCUCAAGGGGAAAUCAUGACAGAACCC
ensembl:lncRNA